GAUGAAGAACGCAGCGAAACGCGAUAAGUAAUGUGAAUUGCAGAAUCCAGUGAAUCAUCGAAUCUUUGAACGCACAUUGCGCCCGCCAGCAUUCUGGCGGGCAUGCCUGUUCGAGCGUCAUUUCAACCCUCGACCUCCCCUUGGGGAGGUCGGCGUUGGGGACCGGCAGCACACCGCCGGCCCUGAAAUGGAGUGGCGGCCCGUCCGCGGCGACCUCUGCGCAGUAAUACAGCUCGCACCGGGACCCCGACGCGGCCACGCCGUAAAACACCCAACUUCUGAACGUUUGACCUCGGAUCAGGUAGGAAUACCCGCUGAACUUAAGCAUAUCAAUAAGCGGAGGA
rnacentral:misc_RNA from 1 species